rnacentral:rRNA from 1 species
UACAGAGGUCUCAAGCGUUGUUCGGAUUCAUUGGGCGUAAAGAGUGUGUAGGCGGUGCUCUAAGUCUGUUGUGAAAUCUCCCGGCUUAACCGGGAGGGUGCGGCGGAAACUGGAGUGCUUGAGGGUGGGAGAGGUAAGCGGAAUUCCUGGUGUAGCGGUGAAAUGCGUAGAUAUCAGGAGGAACACCUGUGGUGUAGACAGCUUACUGGACCACUUCUGACGCUGAGACACGAAAGCGUGGGUAGCAAACAGG